GCUGGGGUAGCUCAGUUGGUGGAGCAUGAGACUUUUAAUCUCAGGGUCAUAGGUUCAAGCCCAACCUUGGGCA